UUACGGUCAUAUCAAGUUCAGAUACCAGUUCUCAUCCGAUCACUGAAGUUAAGCAACACUAAGCCUGAUCAGUAGCUAGAUGGGAGGCUGCUUGGGAACACCGGAUACUGUA